rnacentral:rRNA from 1 species
UACGUAGGGUGCGAGCGUUAAUCGGAAUUACUGGGCGUAAAGUGUGCGCAGGCGGCAGAGCAAGUCGAGUGUGAAAGCCCCGGGCUUAACUUGGGAAUUGCAUUCAAGACUGCCUUGCUAGAGUGUGGAAGAGGGAAGCGGAAUUCCAGGUGUAGCGGUGAAAUGCGUAGAUAUCUGGAGGAACAUCAGUGGCGAAGGCGGCUUCCUGGUCCAACACUGACACUGAGGUGCGAAAGCGUGGGGAGCAAACAGG